rnacentral:SRP_RNA from 1 species
GCCGGGCGUGGUGGCGCGUGCCUGUAAUCCCAGAUACUCGGGAGGCUGAGGCAAGAGGAUUGAUUGAACCCGGGAGGUAGAGGUGGCAGUGAGCCGAGAUCGUGCCACUGUACUCCAGCCUGGGUGACAGAACGAGACUCUGUCUCUU